rnacentral:rRNA from 1 species
AUUGAACGCUGGCGGCAGGCCUAACACAUGCAAGUCGAACGGUAACAGGAAGCAGCUUGCUGCUUUGCUGACGAGUGGCGGACGGGUGAGUAAUGUCUGGGAAACUGCCUGAUGGAGGGGGAUAACUACUGGAAACGGUAGCUAAUACCGCAUAAUGUCGCAAGACCAAAGAGGGGGACCUUAGGGCCUCUUGCCAUCGGAUGUGCCCAGAUGGGAUUAGCUAGUAGGUGGGGUAACGGCUCACCUCGGCGACGAUCCCUAGCUGGUCUGAGAGGAUGACCAGCCACACUGGAACUGAGACACGGUCCAGACUCCUACGGGAGGCAGCAGUGGGGAAUAUUGCACAAUGGGCGCAAGCCUGAUGCAGCCAUGCCGCGUGUAUGAAGAAGGCCUUCGGGUUGUAAAGUACUUUCAGCGGGGAGGAAGGGAGUAAAGUUAAUACCUUUGCUCAUUGACGUUACCCGCAGAAGAAGCACCGGCUAACUCCGUG